rnacentral:rRNA from 1 species
UACGUAGGGUGCAAGCGUUAAUCGGAAUUACUGGGCGUAAAGCGUGCGCAGGCGGUUCGUUGUGUCGGCGGUGAAAGCCCCGGGCUUAACCUGGGAAUGGCCGUUGAAACUGGCGAACUGGAGUGUGGCAGAGGGGGGUGGAAUUCCACGUGUAGCAGUGAAAUGCGUAGAGAUGUGGAGGAAUACCGAUGGCGAAGGCAGCCCCCUGGGCCAAUACUGAACGCUCAUGCACGAAAGCGUGGGGAGCAAACAGG